rnacentral:rRNA from 1 species
UACGGGGGGAGCAAACGUUGUCCGGAAUCAUUGGGCGUAAAGAGCGCGCAGGCGGUCGUUCAAGUCGCGUGUGAAAGCCCCCGGCUCAACUGGGGAGGGUCACGCGAUACUGAUCGACUCGAAGGCAGGAGAGGGUAGUGGAAUUCCCGGUGUAGUGGUGAAAUGCGUAGAUAUUGGGAAGAACACCGAUGGCGAAGGCAGCCAUCUGGACCGACACUGACGCUGAGGCGCGAAAGCGUGGGGAGCAAACAGG